rnacentral:misc_RNA from 1 species
GGAAGUAAAAAUCGUAACAAGGUCUCCGUAGGUGAACCUGCGGAGGGAUCAUUGCAGAGUUCAUGCCCUACCGGGUAGAUCUCCCACCCUAUGUUAUUAUUACUUUGUUGCUUUGGCGGGCCGUUAGGCUCCGGCCCGACUACCGGCCCCGGCUGGUAAGCGCCCGCCAGAGGACCCAAAACCCUGAAUAUUAGUGUCAUCUGAGUACUAUAUAAUAGUUAAAACUUUCAACAACGGAUCUCUUGGUUCUG